rnacentral:rRNA from 1 species
AGUGAACGCUAGCGGUAGGCCUAACACAUGCCAGUCGAACGGCAGCACAGUAAGAGCUUGCUCUUACGGGUGGCGAGUGGCGGACGGGUGAGGAAUACAUCGGAAUCUACUUUUUCGUGGGGGAUAACGUAGGGAAACUUACGCUAAUACCGCAUACGACCUACGGGUGAAAGCAGGGGAUCUUCGGACCUUGCGCGAUUGAAUGAGCCGAUGUCGGAUUAGCUAGUUGGCGGGGUAAAGGCCCACCAAGGCGACGAUCCGUAGCUGGUCUGAGAGGAUGAUCAGCCACACUGGAACUGAGACACGGUCCAGACUCCUACGGGAGGCAGCAGUGGGGAAUAUUGGACAAUGGGCGCAAGCCUGAUCCAGCCAUGCCGCGUGGGUGAAGAAGGCCUUCGGGUUGUAAAGCCCUUUUGUUGGGAAAGAAAAGCAGCAGGUUAAUACCCCGCUGUUCUGACGGUACCCAAAGAAUAAGCACCGGCUAACUUCGUGC